CAAAAACAUUGCUUCUUGAAUAUAAUAAGAAGUAAUCUCCUGCCCAGUGAAAACUAUUUUAACGGCCGCGGUAUCCUAACCGUGCAAAGGUAGCAUAAUAAUUUGUCCAUUAAUUGUGGACUAGAAUGAAUGGGGUAACGAAAUAAGAUCUGUCUCAAUAAAGCACAUAUAAACUAAUAUCCAAGUGAAGAAGCUUAGAUAAUAUUAAAGGACAAGAAGACCCUAUAGAGCUUUAUCUUUUUAUGUUUAAACAAACAAAGAUUGGGUUGGGGCGACCAUGGAUAAAUCAUCCAUAAUUAUUAAGACAAACUAGUCAAUCAAUAGAUCCUUUUAAGAUCACAGAAUCAAGCUACCUUAGGGAUAACAGGCUAAUCCUAUUAAAGAGCUCUUAUCGACAAUAGGGAUUGGCACCUCGAUGUUGGCUUAGAAUAUCUUUACGGCGCAGAAGUCAUAAAAAGAAGGUUUGUUCAACCUAUAAUAUUCUACGUGAUCUG
rnacentral:rRNA from 1 species